AAAAAAUCAGCGCAGUUCUGGCGCCCAUCUCCCGGCGGCCUGGCCGCCGGUAGAUACUUUCGUCGGCCUGGCCGCCGGAAUCUUACACUUGUCCGCCUGCAUAAUUUUCCCUCGUAAAUGAGAGAAAAUUUCUGGCGGCCAGGCCGACGGAAUAUUUUUUUGUAAAAAAUUCCAGCGGCCUGGCCGCCAGCUCCAAUUCACCAACGGUCGGGAGAAAAAUUCCCGGCGGCCUGGCCGCUGGAUACUAAAACCCUCAACGGUCGGGAGAAAAAUUCCCGGCGGCCUGGCCGCUGGAUACUAAAACCCUCAACGGUCGGGAGAAAAAUUCCCGGCGGCCUGGCCGCUGGAUACUUUUUCCCGCUUGUUUUUUUCAGUAGCCAGCGGCCUGGCCGCCAGAAAUUUUUGGAAAACCCUAAAUUUACAACUUGCGCCG
rnacentral:lncRNA from 1 species